GACCUAAUAGCGAAAUCGGUAUCGCAUCUACCUUAUUACGUGGAAGUCCCUCGUUCGAACCGAGGUUAGGUCC